CUUAACACAUGCAAGUCGAACGAUGAUGCUGGAGCUUGCUCCAGUUGAUUAGUGGCGAACGGGUGAGUAACACGUGAGCAAUCUGCCCUUGACUCUGGGAUAACUGCGGGAAACUGUAGCUAAUACCGGAUACUUUCACCGGGGGGCAUCCUCUGGUGAUGAAAGAAUUUCGGUCAAGGAUGAGCUCGCGGCCUAUCAGCUUGUUGGUGAGGUAACGGCUCACCAAGGCGACGACGGGUAACCGGCCUGAGAGGGUGACCGGUCACACUGGGACUGAGGCACGGCCCAGACUCCUACGGGAGGCAGCAGUGGGGAAUAUUGCACAAUGGGCGCAAGCCUGAUGCAGCAACGCCGCGUGAGGGAUGAAGGCCUUCGGGUUGUAAACCUCUUUUAGCAGGGAAGAAGCGAAAGUGACGGUACCUGCAGAAAAAGCACCGGCUAACUACGUGCCAGCAGCCGCGGUAAUACGUAGGGUGCAAGCGUUGUCCGGAAUUAUUGGGCGUAAAGAGCUCGUAGGCGGUUUGUCACGUCUGCUGUGAAAAUCCAAGGCUCAACCUUGGACUUGCAGUGGGUACGGGCAGGCUAGAGUGCGGUAGGGGAGAUGGGAAUUCCUGGUGUAGCGGUGGAAUGCGCAGAUAUCAGGAGGAACACCAAUGGCGAAGGCACAUCUCUGGGCCGUAACUGACGCUGAGGAGCGAAAGCGUGGGGAGCAAACAGGAUUAGAUACCCUGGUAGUCCACGCCGUAAACGGUGGGUGCUAGCUGUGGGCCACAUUCCACGUGGUCCGUAACGAAGUUAACGCAUUAAGCACCCCGCCUGGGGAGUACGGCCGCAAGGCUAAAACUCAAAGGAAUUGACGGGGGCCCGCACAAGCGGCGGAGCAUGCGGAUUAAUUCGAUGCAACGCGAAGAACCUUACCAAGGCUUGACAUGUAGAGGAAAAGUGCAGAGAUGCACUCCCCGCAAGGUCUCUACACAGGUGGUGCAUGGUUGUCGUCAGCUCGUGUC
rnacentral:rRNA from 1 species